rnacentral:snRNA from 1 species
GGAUGGGAGGGCAAUCUGGCUUUGACAUCUGUCACCCCGUUGAUCGCCAGGGUUGAUUCAGCUGAUCUGGCUGGCUAGGCAGGUGUUCCCUUCCUCCCUCACUGGUCUAGGGGCAGGAACACCCAAGCUCCUUGGAGUCCACUGAUGGGGAUAAAGCUACUUCCCUAGCAACUGGACCCAAGACA